rnacentral:rRNA from 1 species
GAUGAACGCUGGCGGCGUGCCUAAUACAUGCAAGUCGAGCGAAAAGACGAGGAGCUUGCUCCUCUGACGUUAGCGGCGGACGGGUGAGUAACACGUGGAUAACCUACCUAUAAGACUGGGAUAACUUCGGGAAACCGGAGCUAAUACCGGAUAAUAUAUUGAACCGCAUGGUUGAAUAGUGAAAGACGGUUGUGCUGUCACUUAUAGAUGGAUCCGCGCCGCAGUAGCUAGUUGGUAAGGUAACGGCUUACCAAGGCAACGAUGCGUAGACGAGCUGAGAGAGUGGUAGGCCGCACGGGAGCGGGGACACGGUCAAGGCUCCUGCGAGACGCAGCAGUAGGCAAUCGUCCGCAAUAGGCGAGAGCCUGACGGAGCAGCGCCGCGUGAGUGAUGAAGGUCUUCGGAUCGUAAAGCUCUGUUAUUAGGGAAGAACAAAUGUGUAAGUAACUAUGCACGUCUUGACGGUAACUAAUCAGAAAGCCACGGCUAACUACGUG